GUAGAUAUAGUUUAAUAAACACUAGAUUGUGAUUCUAGAGUUAGAGGUUAAACCCCUCUUAUCAACC
rnacentral:tRNA from 1 species